GGAAUCUUCCACAAUGGGCGCAAGCCUGAUGGAGCAACGCCGCGUGAGUGAAGAAGGUUUUCGGAUCGUAAAGCUCUGUUGUAAGAGAAGAACGUGUGUGAGAGUGGAAAGUUCACACAGUGACGGUAACUUACCAGAAAGGGACGGCUAACUACGUGCCAG
rnacentral:rRNA from 1 species